UACGUAGGGUGCAAGCGUUGUCCGGAUUUAUUGGGCGUAAAGAGCGUGUAGGCGGCCAGGUAGGUCUGCUGUGAAAACUCGAGGCUCAACCUCGAGACGUCGGCGGAAACCAUCUGGCUAGAGUCCGGAAGAGGAGAGUGGAAUUCCUGGUGUAGCGGUGAAAUGCGCAGAUAUCAGGAAGAACACCCGUGGCGAAGGCGGCUCGCUGGGACGGUACUGACGCUGAGACGCGAAAGCGUGGGGAGCAAACAGG
rnacentral:rRNA from 1 species